UGUAUAUAUACCUAUCUAGAUAAUAUUACGAUCCUCUAGAAAAUUGCAUAUUGGCAACCUUGGUUCCUGUCUCGCUUUACAACCGAGCCCGCCGUGGUUUGCUUUCGGGGUGAGGUCUCUCAGUUUGUUUUCCAGUGACCUGGUUUUCGCAGACAGGCAGAGUGUUUCUCUUUAUUCUCUGCUCCCCCCACCCCUCCCCAGACAAAUUUCUAUACCGUUCGACGGUACUUGAGAAAAGAAACUGGUCACUGAUGAGAUUGGACAGAGAUAUAUAUUGCAAUAUAGAAAAAAAUCAACGAUAAUAUAUAUAUGUAUAUAUUUAUAUUUAUGUAUAUAUAUAUAUAUCUCGAGUUCCUUUGUCCUGAAAGGAUCAACCAUGGCGGUAUGCGGGUAAUGCUUGGUCUAGUUAGCCCAACGAUUAAAUUUCCUCUGUGCUCGUUUCAAUUCGGAUAUAUUCGUGUUCGGAGAUCCGUGCCAAAAUUGAUAUAUAGAGAUAGAAAAGGAGAAUAGAAAGAAAAAAAA